rnacentral:rRNA from 1 species
GACGACCGCUGGCGGCGUGCUUAACACAUGCAAGUCGAACGGAAAGGCCCUGCUUUUGUGGGGUGCUCGAUUGGCGAACGGGUGUGUAACACGUGAGUAACCUGCCCUUGACUUUGGGAUAACUCCAGGAAACUGGGGCUAAUACCGGAUAGGAGCUCCUGCUGCAUGGUGGGGGUUGGAAAGUUUCGGCGGUGGGGGAUGGACUCGCGGGUUAUCGGCUUGUUGGUGGGGUAGUGGCUUACCAAGGCUUUGACGGGUAGGCUGCCUGGGAGGGUGACCGGCGACAUUGGGCCUGAGGUACGGCGCAGACUCGUACGGGAGGCAGCAGUGGAGAGUAUUGCGCAGUGGGCGGACGCCUGAUGCGGAGGCGCUGCGUGCGGGAUGCCGGCUUUCGGGUUGUAAACCGCUUUCGCAUGUGCUGAAGCGUGCGUGACGGUAAUGGGUAAAGAAGCACCGGCUAACUACGUG